CAGCCGCCGCGGUAAUACGAAGAGUGCAAGCGUUACUCGGAAUUACUGGGCGUAAAGCGUGCGUAGGUGGUGGUUUAAGUCCGUUGUGAAAGCCCUGGGCUCAACCUGGGAAUUGCAGUGGAUACUGGGUCACUAGAGUGUGGUAGAGGAUAGUGGAAUUUCCGGUGUAGCAGUGAAAUGCGUAGAGAUCGGAAGGAACAUCUGUGGCGAAGGCGACUAUCUGGGCCAACACUGACACUGAGGCACGAAAGCGUGGGGAGCAAACAGGAUUAGAUACCCCCGUAGUCCCUGUCUCUUAUAC
rnacentral:rRNA from 1 species